rnacentral:rRNA from 1 species
UAGGGAAUCUUCCACAAUGGACGAAAGUCUGAUGGAGCAACGCCGCGUGAGUGAAGAAGGGUUUCGGCUCGUAAAACUCUGUUGUUAAAGAAGAACAUAUCUGAGAGUAACUGUUCAGGUAUUUGACGGUAUUUAACCAGAAAGCCACGGCUAACUACGUCCCAG